rnacentral:misc_RNA from 1 species
AAGAAGAAGAAGAAGAAGAUUAGAAGAGAAAUCAACAUCUGCUGUUGCCUCUGGGUUCCAAAAUUGAACAGGGUACUCUCAUCAUGCUACUCAAAGACUUCUCUAAGGUUACUACGGGUGGGAAACUGGGAAUCAAAAAUAAAAUCAACCAAUCCUACACGAUUCUGAUUCCUUAAGGACACUGGCAGCAACUACACUUAUUCCCAUGGAACUUUAACAUGUGGCCUCUUCCUAAAGUAAAUUUCUAAAAGGUACAUAACUUUGACCUGAGGUAACUUUGACCUGUGGCUUCUUCAAACCUUCUAAUUUCAACUUGAUUACAAAUCAAAACUGGAAAAUGUAUUGCAAGAGAGGGGAAAUUUUGAAUUUGAUAAAAUGGAAAAUGAAGUUCUCAAAUAUAAAGUGGACAACAGAAAUGGAAUUGUAAAGUUCUACGGCGCUCACCACUCUGCCUUCUCCGGUUCCAUACUAAAAACUUUGGCAAAACCUGCAAGUGCUCCUUCUGGGUCCGUUUCAACCACACCUUUGGAGUUGUAAUAUUGGUUCUCGACGUCAACGUCCUGUUCCUCAGGCUCCUCGUCCGAGUACUCGAACCCAUAAUCCUCCAUAUCAGCAUCUGAACCCAUGAUUAGAACUUAGAAGCAGAGAUCGAGAGUUGAGAUUUUUUUGAAUAAAAACGAAAAAUUAAAAAAAAAAAAA